rnacentral:rRNA from 1 species
UGGGAAGUCCUCGUGUUGCAACCCUU